rnacentral:lncRNA from 1 species
CUAAAAUUUAGGAAUUACAGGUAAUCCCCGAUGCACUUAGUUAAUACAAGUAAUUCCUGAAAUGGCCCAGUUAUUACCAGUAAUUACUAAUUUUAAAAUGAAUUUUUACACCUAUUUACUGACUACUAAAAUAAUGUUGUAUGAUGGUCAGAUGAUCAAAAGUUAUGGUAUUACUAACUAGAAGAUCAGUUAGUACUCUUAAAUUAUUGAAUGGUUCAUCUGUAUUCAAAAUAUCUUGAAUAAAUAGGGACUUUCAAAUAUUUGGUUAAAUCAGAGUAACUUUAGUUUUAAUCCAAAAUGGUUAAAGUUAAGCAUUAUACAGAUAAUUUUUGACCAAUUUCAACACACAUGGAAUUCAGAAAUGGAAAAUUGUCCCAAAGCAUUAUUUUUAACUUUUAAAAAAAAAACUUUGAGUUUGAAGAAUAUUUAGACUUAUUACCUUAUAAAGAUCAGAUAACAUUGUGAAGGUUAAGAACUGGA